rnacentral:lncRNA from 1 species
CACAGCCCUAAUGAGCUCUGCAUAUUCAAAACACAAGUAAUUGAUAGUCCAAUUUAAAGUGUGCAGAGGCCAAAUUUCUUUCCAGACGCUGAAGGAAAAACACCAGCUGAGGAAGAAUGAAGAACUGCCUGUUCUAAGUUAUUCUCCUUCUGUGGUCAUUCGAGCACCAGGAAGACCAGGUUUGCCCCAUCAAGUACCUCAAGAAAGAAGUCAAUUACCUAAAGAAGUCAAGCAAAGAGGAAAGGACAAAAUGAAAAUCAUGUACCAGGGUACACGUCGAGGCUCCAAGCUGGAAUGAAUAUGGCCUUCAACAUACUCUUUAUCAUACAGAAGCUUGUGUUCAGGGCUUGGAUUUUGAAGUCAGACAGACCUGGAUUAAAAACCAAUUCAACUACCUAUUACAUAUGUGACCUAGUUGCUUGCUCUGGGGGAAGUCAGCCUCCAUGCUGUGAGGAAACAAGUAAACUAUGGAGAAGCCUACAUGGAGAGGAACCAAGGCCUCCUUCCUACAACCAGCACCAAACUGCCAGCCAUAUCAAUUGGAAGCAGAUCCUCCAGCCCCAGUCAAGCCUUCAGAUGACUGUAGACCUGACUGAUAUCUCAGCUGUCGCCUCAUGACAAACCCCAAGCCAGAACCACCUGGCUAAGCUGCUCUUGAAUUUCUGACUCACAGCAGCUGUGAGAUAAUAAAUGUUUAUGGUUGUUUUGAAUUAUUGACAUUAGAUAACUUGGUAAGCAGCUAAGGUACCUAACAAGGAAUCGCAAGGUAUGAGGGUAGGAAAGCUGGCACUUUGAGGUUGUAAAGACUUGUAUUUGAAAUCCAACUCUUCCAUUGACUGGUUGUUAGACUGAAGCCAUGUUCCUUUACCUCUUAGAGCUCCCAUUUUUCAUUUAUAACAUGACAUCAUGCCCACAGAACCUCCAAGAUACAAUAGUAUAUAGUAAUUCUCAGUGUCUUUGUCUCCCUCUACUUUAUAUCAGUGGAGACAUGCCAUUUUCAAGGCUGAGAAUAAAAGAAAAAACAGAUUGUAUUGACAACAGGUACUGCAGAGUUGGGUGUAUUCAUUGCCCUAGAAAGAGUCAGCCAGAGAGCUGUUAAUCUGAGGUUGCCUGAGGCCAUGUUUCAUGGUAAGUACUACAGAUUUUCAAGCCUAUUCCUCACUUGGGUUAAUUGGCUUUAAGAGUCCAUCUCCUGCUGUGUAAACAUAAUUGCCUUUUAUUUAUUUGAAAUUUACCUCUUCAUAAUUUCAUGUCUUAUUUUCUUCAUUUGCAAUGCAACAAGGAAAUAGCUUUAUGAUGAGUAUUCUUAUGAAAGUGAUUAUUUAAUUAUCUCUUAUUAUGGGCCAUAUAUAUCAUGAAGACAUCUUAGUUUAUUCUCAAAGCACCAUCCCGGAAUAUCUAUUAUUUGUGACAUUUUACUGAUUAGAAAAUAGAUAUAAAUGCCAAGAAUAUUACUUUGCCACUUAGUAUUAUGUGACCUUGGCUUUUAGGUCCCUUUUACAUCUUAUUAUUUUUACUAUUUUUAUUUUUUUGAGUUGGAGUCUCGCUAUGUUGCCCAGGCUGGAGUGCAGUGGCACAAUCUGGGCUCAUUGCAACCUCCGCCUCCCAGGUUCAAGCAAUUCUCCUGCCUCAGCCUCCUGAGUAGCUGAUAAUACAAGCAUGCGCCACUAUGCCCAGUUAAUUUUUUUUUACAUCCUAUUAUUAAACCUCCUUUACAUUUUAGUUUCCUCAACUGCAUAAUGGAAGAUAAGAAUAAAACCUGUGCAAAAUGAACUUGAUGUGAAUAUUAAAGAAGUCAACAUGAAUGAAAUACUUAAAACAGUGUCUGGUAUAUUCUGAUAAAUUACUGGUUAGUUUCUAUCAUUAUUUUUCUAAUCAGCAUUUAAAAAGUUUAGAGCAAAAUUUCUCUCUUGGCCAUUUUGUUCCAUCCAUGGUAUCUCUUUCCUGCAAUAAUAUUCCAUUUUACAGCAUUUCCCACAUCCAUUUGAUGCUUUCAACAAUCCUGUAACUCAGCAUCACUAUUGUAAUUUUUCAGGUGAACAAACUAAUGCUCAGAAAGGUGAACGUGAAUUGCGCCAAGUUCCUUUGGUUGCAAGCAACAGAAACCAACUAAUGCUAGUAUAAACUAAAUAGAGAAAUUCAUCAUAAGAUAUAAGUGUGACUUAUCAAAAUGAAGUUCAUGAAUGAGUUACAGGGAAGAGCCCUGAAAAUGACAACAACUGCAACAAAGAAAGCCAUAGGGAACCCAAGCAAUGUGGCCUCUCUUCUUUCUCCCCUUUUCUCUACUUAGCUUUAGUUAUUUUUCUCUGCAGAUUGGCUUUCUCAGCUACUCAGUACAUAUAGUUGGAGAAAUGGCAGGCUCCCAAAUUCAUAUGUUAUUAUGCCAACCACAGGGUAGAUUGAACUUGUACCUCUCUUUUUGGAUUCUGCAUUGCCACAGAUGGAACUCUGGUUUGACUAGCCUGGGUCAAGAGCCUUCCCCUAAUCCAAUCAAUCAUUGUCAAGAAGUGGGGUCACAAUGUACUAACAUUGCUGCUGGGAACUCACUCCUGUAGAUUCUUGUAGGAAGGCCAUGGGCAAGUGAAAGACACUCCAGAGGAGGCCCAGAAUAUGAAAUGAUUUUCCUAAGCCAUUUCAAAUGUUGGAGUGGCUGAGGCAGGAUUCUCUUUCAGAUAUUCUUUUCCCAUGAGAUCAGCACUUUUCCCACAAGCCUUCAGUUUCUUCCUUUCAGGAGGUCAGCACCUCCUCAAGUUCCUGCUGGAGGAGAUCUGGGUACUCUUCUAACUGUAGCCCUUCUGCAGAUGGAGCUAGCCUCACACACAGGCAGUGUGUCCAUAGUGAUUGGAUAUUAUUCUUUACUCCUCCUCCUGGUAAAAGAAUUUUGCAUCCUAAACUUGACCCUGUGACUUUCAGUGUUUCUCUGGAGGAGGGAUGUACUUCUCCAUAUUACUGACACCAGACUUGGGUAUAUGACUUGUUUUAGCCAAUGGUACCUAAAUGGGAAUGAUUUAGGCCAAGUACAAGCAGAAACAUUAAGAACCAUUUGCAAGGUUCAGCCAUGUCUUUUUUUUUCUCUUCCACAAUAAUAGCAUGUCCCAAAUAUGGGCUGUUCCUUCAACCUGGGUCUUGGAAUGAAGAAGAUAUAUGGAGUAGAGCCAUGAACACACUGUUGCUGCCUCUGACAACAACACAAGAGAGAAAUGAACCUUUGAAAAAUAACAUAUCUGAGUUCAAUGUUGAGCAUGCUGAGUUGAGGUGCAUAGGGGAUAAAUUCAGUAGGAUAUAUUAGUUUGAAUUUUAGGAAAGAGAGCUAGAUGAGAGUUACAUAUUGUUGUUCAUCUGGCCACAGAUGGUACUUGAAGCUUCGAGAUUCAUUGAAAUCCCAGGGAGAAUAGCAGCAUAAAAGAGGGAGGGAAUAAACAUUGACUCAACAACAUUAAAGUGAUGGUAGAGGAAGAGAAGUGUGGGGGAGGUUGGGAAGGACGGGCAGGGGAAAUGGAAGCCACAUUAGCUAUAAAGAAAAGUGAGUUAUCUUCAGCUUCAGCACUGGAAUUGCUCUUGAGAAAGAAAUGCCUUUGUUCUUGUCUUUCAGUAAUAUCACUUCAUGUGAGCUUGAAAACAGCCUUGUGAGGUGUAGUUAGAGGAGAAUAGACACAUUCGUCUCCAAGGUAGAAGUGAGGAAACUAAGACUCAAAGGAAUAAACACCUUGCCCAAGUUUUUUUAAAAAUUUAAUUUGAAAUUGUGGUGAACAAAACCCACAUAAUAUAAAAUUUACCAUCUUACCCACUUCUAAGUAUAUGGUUCAGUAGUGUAUAAUAUAUUCACAUUGUUGUGCAACCAAUCUCCAGAACUUCUACAUCUUGCAAAAUUGAAAAUCAGUACCAAUUAAACAUUAACUCCCCAUUCUCCUCACCCCACAUCCCUGGGAAACCACCAUUCUACUUUCUGUCUCUAUGGAUUUGUCCACUCCAGGUACCUCAUAUAAGUGGAAUCCUAUAAUAUUUGUCCUUUUGUGUGUGGCUUAUUUCACUUAGCGUAGUGUGCUCAAGGUUCAUUCAUGCUGUAGGAUGUGUCAGAAUUUCUUUCCUUUUUAAGGCUGAAUAAUACUCCUUUGUGUAUACAGACCUCAUUUUGUUUGUUCAUUCAUUGUCAAUGGACACUCCAGCUGCUUCCACCUCUUGGCCCCUGUGAAUCAUGCCUCAGAGCAUGGGUGUGAGGCAUUGUCUUUUUGAGGCAAAGAGGACAGAAGGGGGACCCUGAGAGCAUGUUGUAAAGACAAUAAAAAAGAUUUCAUUACUGCCCUGUAUGAGGAAAUGAGGGGAGUUUUGCUCCUGAAGGAGUCAGGGAAAGAAGAAUGGAGAGGGGCCAAAAAGGAGAGGUGGUGAGAGAUGAUCCAGGGAGGUGGGGAAGGGUAGGGAUUAUCUGGGGUGAAGGGGCCAGUGAAAAUUGUCUAUUGUUUUGUGGUCAAA